GGGCUAAUGGUCUAGUGGUAUGAUUUUCGCUUCGCAUCAUGGAUCGUCAGAUGUCGUCCUUGUGAAAGGUCCCCGGUUCAAUCCCGGGUUAGUCCA